CUUUAUUGGGAUGGAAACAGCUAAAGGGAAAAAAUGCUGGUUCCAGAGGAGGCACUUAGUUCUGCUCGUGCUGGGUCUGCAUUUCAGUGCCCUGUGGAGAUACAUGGAAGACCCCAGCAAAACCAUCCCUGCCUUUCCUCCCUCUUCUCUGCACCCAGGAAGGCUGGAGAGAGAGAGUUUGUCCUGCACCCCUCCCUGACCUGCUGUUGUGCUCUACCAACACGGGAGACUGAGGCCCCAGGCACAGGGCAGGCAGAGACCAUGGAGCUGGAGACAGGUGGGAGAAGCAUGAUAGGGGUUAAAAAUAAUCACAUGAAAAUCAAAGUGGUCUCUUGCAGCCUUCAAGACAGAUCCGUGCCUUUCUCUGAAACUCUGAGGACCAAGGACCUUGAUGCAAUUAAGGGAUCUGGCACCUCCAUACUUCACCAAGGUUUUCAAGGUUUAAAACCAUCAUGCUCAGACGCUCACGCUGCUGCUCGGAAGCACCGCCCGUGAGGAGGAAAAGCACAACCAUGUCCCUUGUGACAGGGGAGCAGAAUCAUCGAGUCAGGUUGGAAAAGACCUCCGAGAUCAUCGGGUCUGACCUGUGCCCGAUGCCCACCUUGUCACUCUGAGCAGAGCACUGAGUGCCACGUCCAGCCGUGCCUGGAGCACCUCCAGGGACGGGGACUCCAAACCUCCCUGGGCAGCC